UACGGAGGGUGCAAGCGUUGUUCGGAAUCAUUGGGCGUAAAGCGCGCGCAGGCGGCUAUUUAAGUCUGGUGUGAAAGCCCGGGGCUCAACCCCGGAAGUGCACUGGAUACUGAGUAGCUAGAGUACAGUAGAGGAAAGUGGAAUUCCUGGUGUAGGGGUGAAAUCCGUAGAUAUCAGGAGGAACAUCGGAGGCGAAGGCGACUUUCUGGGCUGUAACUGACGCUGAGGCGCGAAAGCGUGGGGAGCAAACAGG
rnacentral:rRNA from 1 species